AUUGAACGCUGGCGGCAUGCCUUACACAUGCAAGUCGAACGGCAGCAUGGGUGCCUGCACCUGAUGGCGAGUGGCGAACGGGUGAGUAAUGCAUCGGAACGUACCCGGAAGUGGGGGAUAACGUAGCGAAAGUUACGCUAAUACCGCAUAUUCUGUGAGCAGGAAAGCGGGGGAUCGCAAGACCUCGCGCUUCCGGAGCGGCCGAUGUCGGAUUAGCUAGUUGGCGGGGUAAAGGCCCACCAAGGCAACGACCCGUAGCGGGUCUGAGAGGAUGAUCCGCCACACUGGGACUGAGACACGGCCCAGACUCCUACGGGAGGCAGCAGUGGGGAAUUUUGGACAAUGGGGGCAACCCUGAUCCAGCCAUGCCGCGUGAGUGAAGAAGGCCUUCGGGUUGUAAAGCUCUUUCGGCCGGGAAGAAAUCGCACAGGUUAAUACCUUGUGUGGAUGACGGUACCGGAAUAAGAAGCACCGGCUAACUACGUGCCAGCCGCCGCCGUAAGAC
rnacentral:rRNA from 1 species